CAGCACCUCAAGUGGUCAGGAGGAUUAUUGGGCCUAAAGCAUCCGUAGCUUGCUCUGUAAGUUUCCGGUUAAAUCCAUUAGCUCAACUAAUGGGCUGCCGGAAAAACUGCAUAGCUAGGGAGUGGGAGAGGUAGACGGUACUCGGUAGGAAGGGGUAAAAUCCUUUGAUCUAUUGAUGACCACCUGUGGCGAAGGCGGUCUACCAGAACACGUCCGACGGUGAGGGAUGAAAGCUGGGGGAGCAAACCGGAUUAGAUACCCGAGUAGUCC
rnacentral:rRNA from 1 species